CGUCUAAGCGCAUAGUUUUAUUGUUAUUGUUAAGAACUACCUAACAGCAGUAAUAACCAGUGGCGUAAUUACGGGGGUUCGCGAUGGUAUACUUCCACCCCCUGCGAUUAUCUACCGGAUGCAAAUAUGCGUUGCUUUAUGUUUUAUGUACCCGAUAAAGUUGAACUCUACCCCUAUUAUAAAAAAAAUAUACAUACAUAAGU